CAGCGGAGGGGCCUCAUGCCCUCCCAUCGAUCCGGCGCCAUCGACCGCUCCAAUUUGCAGGAAUUUAUGGACCCUCAUGGGGCCAGUAGCUAACCUGUUAAAGUGCAGCAUGAACCCCAGAAGCAGAAAGCUACAACAGGCUCCCUUGCAGCUCUUCAUGUUCUUCUGAGCUGCACCCGGUACUUCUUUUACAGAUCGGCUGGGAUACUCUUAAGAAGCUGUGCUGGUGAGGCCAGCUGCAAAGGCUCUUUUCAUCAACCUGAAUCACUUUACGGAAAUCAUUGUCAAGGAGCAAUCAGAUAAAGAGUUAAAUGGCAAAACUGGUUGGGCAGUAACCACUGGGGAAAGGGGACAAACUUCUGGACACAGCUGAGUACAUCCACAUCUUAACCCUGAUGAGCAGAAGUCAGAAGAGCUCACCUAAUAGCAGCCCUCGGUGUUGUCGUGCCAGCUGUGUGAUACCUGGAAGGGGUGCUUAGCUCUUGCAUCAAAAUUCACAGUGCUGAGCAAGUUACCUAAAGCUCUGUGUACACUAGAUGUUUGCCUAUGGAUUUGUUCUGAUGAGCUUUGUGACCUCCCUGUUGCUAUGAUCAAAAUGGUAUGUACUCUGGCAGGUAUCUCUGCUUGAAAGCACCAACUGCUAGCUGAGAGGUAGUAAGGGAUGGCUUUUUAAACCACUUGUCAACUGGUGCCACUUGUUACACUGCAACCCAGUAGUGGGAGCACGUCCCCUUCUUCUCAGUGUGCAGUCAUGCAGGCUGGUGGGGAAGUGGGAUGCAUGUUUCCCUGGAGUGAAGCAGGGAUAGAGUCCACACUGUCAACCUACCUCAGCAAUAAAGUGGUGACUACGUGCUGAGGGGAAGCCUUGA